rnacentral:rRNA from 1 species
GACGAACGCUGGCGGCGUGCCUAAUACAUGCAAGUCGAGCGGACAGAUGGGAGCUUGCUCCCUGAUGUUAGCGGCGGACGGGUGAGUAACACGUGGGUAACCUGCCUGUAAGACUGGGAUAACUCCGGGAAACCGGGGCUAAUACCGGAUGCUUGUUUGAACCGCAUGGUUCAAACAUAAAAGGUGGCUUCGGCUACCACUUACAGAUGGACCCGCGGCGCAUUAGCUAGUUGGUGAGGUAACGGCUCACCAAGGCRACGAUGCGUAGCCGACCUGAGAGGGUGAUCGGCCACACUGGGACUGAGACACGGCCCAGACUCCUACGGGAGGCAGCAGUAGGGAAUCUUCCGCAAUGGACGAAAGUCUGACGGAGCAACGCCGCGUGAGUGAUGAAGGUUUUCGGAUCGUAAAGCUCUGUUGUUAGGGAAGAACAAGUGCCGUUCGAAUAGGGCGGCACCUGA